UUGCAGUGCCGAGGACAGCAGGCCCGUCGCGGCCGGCCGCUAUAAAGGCCGCCGCCGGCCGUCCACCGACACAGUAUCGCUCACCUCACCUCUCCACUCACAUCAUGAAGCUGCUGGCUGUGCUGUUGGCCGUGGUAGCCUCGACGCAGGCGUUCGGCCUGGGCGGUGGCCGGCGCGGACACCACGGGGGAGGCUACGGCGGCUACCAGACGGAGCACAUCGGGUAUCAGCCGGUGCGCACCGUGGUCAAACAUCACCCGUACCCAGUGGUG